GAGCAGCAGAUGGAGACUUGGGUCACAGAGAUGCCUUUUGUAGCCACUCUAACAAGGAAGAAAGCCCAAAGUCUUGAAAAGCUGUGGGAUAGGAAAGCAUAGAGGUGUGACUCUGCACAUGCUUGGAGAGUGUGAGAACACAAAGGGCAGGGUAGAGCCCAAGUCAGAGGUUUCUGAUGUAAUAAAUAAAUAGCAUUGGCCUGCAAGCACCUGAAGGACCGCUAAGUCUCAAUCACACUUUAUAGUCAGGAGAGACAAACUCCCCAGCUGCAACAAAUGGAGACAAAGCACAGCCAGCGAUGUGGUAAGCAGCAUUUGGUGAAAUGUGGCAGAGCAACCUUGCCAAAAUCCCUUCCAAACGAGCACAUCCACAGAAGAUGAACUGUUCGUCCAUAAUUUUUUUUCUUGAAGGUAGUUAUUAUUCACUAUUCCACAAAGACAGUCCAGUUUCAGCCAUGCAAACAUUUGAGAGAUUUAACUUAGAUCCAUAGCACUGAUUAUGUUUUGCUCUACAUGGCGCUGGAUCUAAAUAAAUAUAACUGGUUUAGCCAGUAUUAGGAAGAAUUAUGCAGAAAAGGAGGGUUUCUUUUUUCUGAUUUUUGUUAAA